rnacentral:rRNA from 1 species
GAUUAACGCUGGCGGCGUGCAUAACACAUGCAAGUCGAACGAAGUGGCGGACGGGUGAGUAACGCGUGAGUAACCUGCCUUAGACAAGGGGAUAGCCUUUGGAAACCGAGUAUACUACCCUAUACUCUAAGAUGUAGUUGCCUCUGCGUAGUUAGUUGGUCAGGUAACGGCCCACCCAGACAGCGAUCAGUAGCCGGAGUGGGAGAGUGGACGGACGUAUUGGGACUGGGACACGGCCCAGACGCUACGGGAGGCAGCAGGGGGGAAUUUUGCACGAUGGGGGAAAGCCUGAUGCAGCGAAGCCGCGUGAUUUAGAAGGCCUUCGGGUUGUAAAAAUCUUUUCUAUGGGAAGCAGUACCAUAGGAAUAAGGACCGGCUAAUUACGUGCCAGCAGCCGCGGUAAUUC